GAUGAACGCUGGCGGUAUGCAUAACACAUGCAAGUCGAACGGUCUGGAAACAGACAGUGGCGGACGGGUGAGUAACGCGUGAGAAUCUAACUUGUGGUUCGGGAUAACCACUGGAAACGGUGGCUAAGACCGGAUGUGCCGGGAGGUGAAAGGGAGACCGCCACAAGAGGAGCUCGCGUCCGAUUAGCUGGUUGGUAGGGUAACGGCCUACCAAGGCGACGAUCGGUCGCUGGUCUGAGAGGACGACCAGCCACACUGGGAUUGAGAGACGGCCCAG
rnacentral:rRNA from 1 species